rnacentral:rRNA from 1 species
UACGUAGGGGGCUAGCGUUGUCCGGAAUCAUUGGGCGUAAAGAGCGUGUAGGCGGCCCGGUAAGUCCGCUGUGAAAGUCGGGGGCUCAACCCUCGAAAGCCGGUGGAUACUGUCGGGCUAGAGUGCGGAAGAGGCGAGUGGAAUUCCAGGUGUAGCGGUGAAAUGCGUAGAUAUCUGGAGGAACACCGGUGGCGAAGGCGGCAUCCUGGACCGACACUGACGCUGAGGAGCGAAAGCCAGGGGAGCAAACGGG